GUGAGGAAUAUUGCGCAAUGGAGGCAACUCUGACGCAGCCAUGCCGCGUGCAGGAAGAAGGCGCUACGCGUUGUAAACUGCUUUUAACCGGGAAGAAACCCCAGGACGUGUCCUGGGUUGACGGUACCGGAGGAAUAAGCACCGGCUAACUUCGUACCAGCAGCCGCGGUAAUACGAAGGGUGCAAGCGUUAUCCGGAUUCAUUGGGUUUAAAGGGUGCGUAGGCGGAGCGUUAAGUCAGUGGUGAAAUCCUGCAGCUUAACUGUAGACUUGCCAUUGAUACUGGCGCUCUUGAGUGCGCUUGAAGUGGGCGGAAUGUGCCGUGUAGCGGUGAAAUGCUUAGAUAUGGCACAGAACACCAAUUGCGAAGGCAGCUCACUAAGGCGAUACUGACGCUGAGGCACGAAAGCGUGGGGAUCGAACAGGAUUAGAAACCCGAGUAGUCC
rnacentral:rRNA from 1 species